rnacentral:rRNA from 1 species
CUUAUACAUGCAGUCGAGGGGCAGCACGGGUAGCAAUACUUGUGCCUAGACCGGCAAACGGGUGAGGAACACGUACACAACCUUCCUUUUAGUGGAGCAUAACCCAGGGAAACUUGGACUAAUACUCCGUAAUAUGUUUGAGAGGCAUCUUUUGGACAUUAUAGUGGCAACACGCUAGAAGACGGGUGUGCGUAUGAUUAGGUAGUUGGCGGGGUAACGGCCACCAAGCCUACGAUCAUUAACUGGUGUGAGAGCAUGACCAGUCACACGGGGCCUGAGACACGGGCCCGACUCCUACGGGAGGCAGCAGUAAGGAAUAUUGGUCAAUGGACGCAAGUCUGAACCAGCCAUGCCGCGUGGAGGAUGAAGGUCCUCUGGAUUGUAAACUUCUUUUAUAUGGGGCGAAAAAAGGCUUUUCUAAGUCGUCUGACGGUACCAUAUGAAUAAGCACCGGCUAACUCCGUGCCAGCAGCCGCGGUAAUACGGACGGGUGCAAGCGUUAUCCGGAUUCACUGGGUUUACAAGGGAGCGUAGGUGGGCUGAUAAGUCAGUGGUGAAAUCUCCGAGCUUAACUUGGAAACUGCCAUUGAUACUAUUAGUCUUGAUAUUGUGGAGGUUACGGAAUAUGUCAUGUACGGUGAAAUGCUUAGAUAUGACAUGGAACACCAUUGCGAAGGCAGCUGGCUACACAUAUAUUGACACUGAUGCUCGAAAGCGUGGGGAUCAACAGGAUUAGAUACCUGGUAGUCCACGCCCUAAACUAUGGAUACUCGACAUACGCGAUACACAGUGUGUGUCUGAGCGAAGCAUUAAGUAUCCCACCUGGGAAGUACGACCGCAAGGUUGAAACUCAAAGGAAUUGCGGGGUCCGCACAACCGGUGGAGCAUGUGGUUUAAUUCGAUGAUACGCGAGGAACCUUACCUGGGCUAGAAUGCGAGUCCCGUACCGUGAAACCGGUAUUUCUACCAAUAGACACAAAGCAAGGUGCUGCAUGGCUGUCGUCAGCUCGUGCCGUGAGGUGUUGGGUUAAGUCCCGCAACGAGCGCAACCCCCAUCACUAGUUGCCAUCAGGUAACGCUGGGAACUCUAGUGAAACUCCGUCGUAAGACGUGAGGAAGGAGGGGAUGAAUGUCAAAGUCAUCCAAUGCCCUUUAUGCCCCAGGGCUACAACAACCGUGCCUUACCAAUUGGGAAGGACCAAAGAGCUGCGACCACAGUGAUGUGAAGCUAAUCUCAAAAACCUUCUCUCAGUUCGGAUCCAGUCUGCAACUCGACUGCGUGAAGCUGGAAUCGCUAGUAAUCGUAUAUCAGCAAUGAUACGGUGAAUACGUUCCCGGACUUGCACACACCGCCCGUCAAGCCAUGAAAGCCGGGUGUACUAAAGUCGUAACCGUAAGAG